CUGCAGUCAAUGAGCUGGCUGGCUCCUUUGCUUGUGGGUGCCCACACACAAUGGCUGCCGAUGGCACUUCCUCAGUGGCAUAUGCAGCCUGUUACUUAUACAGGGACCUCAGAAACACUG
rnacentral:snoRNA from 1 species